AAGUAAUCCAGCAGCAUACGUAGAGGUCUUCCCUCACUGAAUUGCCUUAAGCACACCUUUCCACAUUUGUUCAAAACCUAUUUCCUGCAACGUGGAGACUAUGAAGCUAGUAUGAGAAUAGAUUAUCACACUUUGGAUACCGCUUCAGAGAACUCUGAAAAGGAAGAGGAAGAAGUCAUGGGGUGCAAGCAACAGUCAUGUUCAAAUGGGAAUAACACUUAACUUCUUAAAAUUCCACGUUUAAAUACUACAAUGAAAAGGGUUUAAAAUACUUUCUACAAGUUAUUUUGAAUUAAAAAAUAAUUCAAGCCACAGGGACAACCAUUACAGUAAAGAUGAAAUACUGCUUCAAUACCUAUUCGGACAUGGAAACUAGCUCAACAUUUAAGUUCCAUAGACGGAUGGAAACUGAGAGAUUCUGGGUUUUAACCUUACUCUCUACUCCUUGCAAAGAUUCUGUGAGUUUCAAGACAUUCUUUUAAAAAUUAUUUUUGUAGAUAUCAUCAAGACAGGCACAACAGAAGAAGGAGGUUUAGGGAAUAAAAACGUGAUUAUUUAGUGGAAGUCUAUUUAGUAAAUGGCGACACCAAUUCAAUGUCAAUUCUCAAAUUGAGAGAAAAAUUGAGGGAUGUUCCAGACAAAAUCUGAACAGAUUACCUGUGAAAUUAAACAAAUUGUUGUAACAUUUAUAUGGAAGUUCAAACAGUCAAUUAGAAUCAAUACCUAUUACGGAAGAAGAAAGAAGUGAAGAGACUUCCGACAACAAACUAAAUAUUACAACAUAUUACAAAACUAUUUAGUCAAGCCUGUGACAUUGGCACAGAAAUAGAGUAAUAAAGCAAUAAAAUAAAAUACAGAGAAUAUAAAAAUGGGUUUACAGAUAUAUGGACACUAGACUUAUGACUUGUCUUUACAGUGCAAAGGGAAAUUAAUAAAUAAAUAAAGGAGAAUAACUUCAUGACAUUUGUGUCGUGAAAAAUGUUUUAAACUGACAGAAAAAGCAGAAACUCUAAAGAAAAUAACUGACAAGUUUAAAUACAUUAAAACUAAGAACUUCUCACAAACAAGAGCUAUUAAGAGAUGGUAAACAGCUAUAGGGAGACUGAGUUGAUGUUUCCAACUACCGACAAGUGGAUUGUAUCCAAACUAUACACAGAACCCCCCAAAAUCAAUAAAUGGAAGACACACAAGCCAAUAGGUGAAAAACAACUUAAAUGCAGAUUUUAAGAAAUGAAAAUUCAAAAGACCUAUAAACAUAGA